UACGUAGGGGCCGAGCGUUGUCCGGAGUUAUUGGGCGUAAAGCGCGCGCAGGCGGCCUCGCGCGCCCGACGUGAAAGCCCCCGGCUUAACCGGGGAGGGUCGUUGGGGACGGCGGGGCUUGAGGGCGGGAGAGGGCGGUGGAAUUCCCGGUGUAGUGGUGAAAUGCGUAGAGAUCGGGAGGAACACCUGUGGCGAAGGCGGCCGUCUGGGCCGAUCCUGACGCUGAGGCGCGAAGGCGUGGGGAGCGAACGGG
rnacentral:rRNA from 1 species